rnacentral:misc_RNA from 1 species
GAUGAAGAACGCAGCUAAAUGCGAUAAGUAAUGUGAAUUGCAGAAUUCAGUGAAUCAUCGAAUCUUUGAACGCACAUUGCGCCCGCCAGUAUUCUGGCGGGCAUGCCUGUUCGAGCGUCAUUUCAACCAUCAAGCCCCAGGCUUGUGUUGGAGCCCUGCGGCUGCCGCAGCCUCCCAAAACCAGUGGCGGGCUCGCUAUCACACCGAGUGCAGUAGUUUACUCUUCGCUCAGGGCGUGUGGCGGGUGCUAGCCGUAAAACCCCCAACUUCUCAAGGUUGACCUCGGAUCAGGUAGGAAUACCCGCUGAACUUAAGCAUAUCAAUAAGCGGAGGA